rnacentral:rRNA from 1 species
AGAGCGAACGCUGGCGGCAGGCCUAACACAUGCAAGUCGAGCGGGCACCGCAAGGUGUCAGCGGCAGACGGGAGAGUAACACGUGGGAACGUGCCCUUCGGUUCGGAAUAACUCGGGGAAACUCGAGCUAAUACCGAAUACGCCCUUACGGGGAAAGAUUUAUCGCCGAUGGAGCGGCCCGCGUCUGAUUAGCUAGUUGGUGAGGUAACGGCUCACCAAGGCUACGAUCAGUAGCUGGUCUGAGAGGAUGAUCAGCCUCACUGGGACUGAGACACGGCCCAGACUCCUACGGGAGGCAGCAGUGGGAAUAUUGGACAAUGGGCGCAAGCCUGAUCCAGCCAUGCCGCGUGGAUGAUGAAGGCCUUAGAGUUGUAAAGUCCUUUUAACGGGAAGAUAAUGACGGUACCCGUAGAAUAAGCCCGGCUAACUUCGUGCCAGCAGCCGC